rnacentral:rRNA from 1 species
AGAGUUUGAUCCUGGCUCAGAACGAACGCUGGCGGCGUGGAUAAGACAUGCAAGUCGAACGCUGAUUUGUGAGUAGUAAUAUUUGCAAAUUGGAGUGGCGCAAGGGUGUGUAACACGUGGGUAAUCUGCCAUGAAGUCUGGGAUAACUUGCUGAAAGGCGAGCUAAUACCGGAUGUGAACGCAAGUUCAAAGUUGGGGACCGUAAGGCCUGACGCUUCAUGAUGAGCCCGCGGCCUAUCAGCUAGUUGGUGAGGUAACGGCUCACCAAGGCUAAGACGGGUAGCUGGUCUGAGAGGACGACCAGCCACACUGGAACUGAGACACGGUCCAGACACCUACGGGUGGCAGCAGUCGAGAAUUUUUCUCAAUGGGCGAAAGCCUGAAGGAGCGACGCCGCGUGGGGGAUGAAUGGCUUCGGCCCGUAAACCCCUGUCAUUUGCGAACAAGUUGUUUCACCUAACACGUGACGCAUUGAUUGUAGCGGAAGAGGAAGGGACGGCUAACUCUGUGCCAGCAGCCGCAGUAAUACAGAGGUCCCAAGCGUUGUUCGGAUUCACUGGGCGUAAAGGGUGCGUAGGCGGCCAAGUAAGUUUGACGUGAAAUCCCGCAGCUUAACUGCGGNNCUGCGUUGAAUACUAUUUGGCUCGAGGAAUGGAGGGGAGACUGGAAUUCUCGGUGUAGCAGUGAAAUGCGUAGAUAUCGAGAGGAACACCAGUGGCGAAGGCGAGUCUCUGGACAUUUCCUGACGCUCAGGCACGAAAGCCAGGGGAGCAAACGGGAUUAGAUACCCUAGUAGUCC